CAGAUUCAAUAAGAAUUGAUAACUGAUCCAAUUUUAAAGGAAAUUGGAAUUUUUGAUCGGCACGGCAUAUGGUAUACAUUCCACACCGUCGUGUCAAUUUACUUCUGAAUGCUGAAUACCCAAAACGCCGAAAAAAGCAAUUUUUUCAACAACAUAAUUAAGCUAAACUGCAUAGGCGGCCGUUCUGUCGAUAUCACGAAGGCCUUCUCCAUCGAACCUUCAAUACCUAUGAUGAAUCGGAACACAUGGACCACACACACUCAAGCGGAAGCGUUCCAUGAUAGCACCACCUUCUAUCGUCAAUCGUACAAACCGAAAAAAAGGUAUUUGAGAAGUGCUACCGACAAGUUCAAAGGCUACACACCUCUUCGAAAUACGAACGACUUAUGCAAGUACGACAAAUUGUGCAACUAAAACUGGAAUGUAGGUUUUGUUGCCAGCCUUCGACUAGUGCAUUCCCAGUGCACAUCAUCACAUCGAUAAUUCUGUAGUGAUACAUGGAAAGGAUUGGAACAUCGAAGUGUAUGCUCAAUAAGAACAAUGAUAGGAUUUGUUCAGCGCUUGUUUAUGAAAAACUAUGCUCCUUCUACUAAGUCGAUCCCUUGUGCUUACCCCAAGUAACGUUUCAAGGAACACAACUUGUAGCAAUGCGAAUCUUUCAAAACCAAAUGGAAAAUUGUAGAAAUUAAGUUAAAAAGAAAAACUGUUGUUUGAAUAGUUUGGAAAAGGUUUGUUUUAAGGAUUAAGUCUU